GGGGGGCGGGGCGUCGCGGGCACAGCGUGAGGGCCGCCGUUGCUGGAGUUCAGCUUAGGGAAGGAGGACUCUGAGGAGGCCCCGAGCGGCGGAGCGCUUCGGGGGAGGCGCCCGCGCAGACGCGAGGCCCAUAGCCAGGACCACCACCUAGCUGUUCUACAGUCUGGGGACGACGGUUUAAAAAUUUAUGCCUUGCAUGCGAUGUGCAGUGGGUGAUGGAAGAACGUCUACAUGGCUUUAAAAUUGGAUUUAAAAGGCAAAUAUUUUAAAUGAAGGAAAACCCAAGAAGUUUACUUGAUUCCUUAUCUUCCAGGAUGCGACUUUUGUUUAUUUAUUUAUUUUAUUUUGAUGGAGUCUCGCUGCCGUCGCGCAGGCUGGAGUGCAGUGACGCGAUCUUGACCCGGGAACCUCCACCUCCCGGGUUCAAGCGAUUCUCCUUCCUCAACCACCCGAGUAGCUGGGAUUACAGGCGUGUGCCACCAUGCCCGGCUAAUUUUUGUGUUUUUAGUAGAGACCGGGGAAGGUAUGGGCCCUCUUUUGAGAAAAAUGCAGAGUGACACUGAAUUUUGUAACUACAUCAGGAGGCUCUUGAACCUUCUGCAGCUCACUCGUGGAGUUUGUAGAGAUGCGUAAUAAUCCGAAGUGUUAAGGAAGAAGGUUCUGUUGAGAAAAAGUUGGAGGGCUGAAAGGGAUGCCUUUCGCUAUUUCGACAUGUGUGGCUGUACCCCAGAGUGCCCUGGCUAACACGCAAAACCAUGAAUUAGGCGGCUUGGCGAGGCUCAGUGGAGGCUGGGGCCGAGAGUCAUGUCAAAGUUUGUGGGGUUAACCUGCACCCAGUGACAGUCAUGGCGAAGUUUGUGAGGUUAACUCGCACCCAGUAACGCUGUUCCAAUGCAAGGUGUGUAUUUGGUGUCAUCCACGGGAAGAGGAAACAGCAAAUUUUCUCAUGGCCUUGGCAGUUCCACAUGAUGGACAUUUCAUAUCUGCAGUUUUCUUCGCAUGAGAUGGCUUUUUUGCACAAAAACACUGGAAUCCAGUGAGCAAGAAUGAUAGAAUGCAAGAUGGAUUUCCACAUGAGGAAGUGUCACGAACAAGCGUUUUGCAUCUCUGUCAGCUGGAUUCCCCCAUGUGUACGUAUGUGAGAACAUGCCGUGUUUCCUGUCUGUAAUGGUAGAGGCAGCCCUGAUACUGGAUUUUCACCUGAGGAUGGAUAGAUCUUCAGGGUUCAAGUGGGUUUGCAUCUGGACUUUAGGGUGGCCCUGUAGGCCCUGUGUGAGAAGCCCCCUUCCCAGUGAACUUUCCCUUGUGUGCCCGCGUGGACAGCCAACAGGGGGAGCAGUGCGAGCGUGAAGGCAGACAGUGGCCUGGCCCAGUCUGAUGGUAAGUGGGCCAGAGGCAGUGAGUACCAUUUCUUGAUCUGACUACUCAAGACAGGCGCUUCCCUAGGUACUUUCACACCUCAUUGCGAGGUACGUGUUGUUCCCAUUUUACAGGUGCAGAAGCUGAGCUGCAGAGGCGUUAGGUACCUGCCUCAUAAGUGGUAGAGACUCCAGUGUCACCCUGCCCCUCACGUUCGGAGCCCCCGAGGGAGGGUCUGCCGGGCAGCUCAGCCCAGCACUCUGUAAGGAAAUCUUCAGUGCCACUGCCCAGGAUGUCUUCCCGGGGAUUGGGCCUGAAUGUCUUGACCAUGCCGUGCUGGAGGUAGGAGGGGUGUCUUCAUAUGGAAGAACUGUACAUAUUUCUUUGGCAGAUGGCUGAACUCUGUGACCCCGGGGCCUGUUUCAGCCUCCUGCUGUCAGAAAGCAGCUGUUUGGGAAGAGGCUGUGAUUCGGCCUUGUUUGAGGGCCGAUACUCUGAAUGGGUGAGGCUUGGAAUCCUCCCUUUGGAACAAAGAAACAUAAUGAUUUUGCUGAAGGUAGAAUUGGGGGACUAGGCAGAGUGGCCUCCUGCCCUCCCUGGGGUGGUUCUGUCUUUUGCAAAGGUGGCUGCAUCCUUAGGGGAAGGUGAGGGGAGAAGCAGGGAGCAUGGAGAGAAGUGGCUUUCGAUUUUCUCUCUCCUUUUGGGGAGUUCCUCCUUAUGUGGCUGGUCUGGUGCAUAGUGUGAUGUAUUCCUGUACGCAACGUUGCCCUGACAGCCAGUCCAAGCUGAGUCUAGAGCUGGCAAGGUGAGCUCCCAGUAGUAAGAGGGUGUGGGCGGCAAGCCACCCAGGCACCGAGGCAAGAGACAGAGGACACGAGCUGUUCCAGUAUAAUAAAAUAUAAAACAAGAAUAGUUAUACCAGAUAUAGAUCUUAGAUAUGAUUAUAUAUGAAUAUCAUUAAUCAUGAGUUUGCAGCAAUUACUUUUUAUUCCAAUAUUAUGAUAAUCCUCGCUCUAUAAUCAUAGCCUAGGAAAAACCAGGCCAUACAGAGGAGCUGAGGGGACAUAGUGAGGUGUGACCAGAAGACAAGAGUGCGAGGCUUCUGUUAUGCCCGGACAGGGCCACAAGAGGGCUCCUUGGUCUAGCGGUGACGCCAGCGUCUGGGAAGACGCCCGUUACCCGGCGGAUCGUGGCCCAGUGGUAGCAAAAGGUGUCAAGGAACAACACUCACUACUUAGCAGACCGGGAAAGGGGCGGGGGGGGGGUCUCCCUUUCCCCGGGGGAGUUUAGAAAAGACUCUGCUCCUCCACCUCUUGUGGAGGGCCUGACAUCAGUCAGGCUUGCCCGUAGUUAUCCGGAGGCCUAACUGUCUCCCUGUGAUGCUGUGCUUCAGUGGUCACACUCCUUGUCUGCCUUCAUGUUCCAUCCUGUACACCUGGCUCUGCCUUCUAGAUAGCAGUAGUAAAUUAGUGAAAAUACUAAUAGUCCCUGAUAUGCAGAAAUAAUGGUAUAAGCUGUCUUUCUCUCUGUCUCCUCUCCCUCUCUGCCUCGGCUGCCAGGCAGGGAAGGGCCCCCUGUCCAGUGGACACGUGACCCACGUGACCUUACCUAUCAUUGGAGGUGACUCACAUUCUUUACCCUGCCCCUUCUGUCUUGUAUCCGAUAAAUAACAGCGCAGUCAGACAUUCGGGGCCACUACCGGUCUCCGCGCAUUGGUGGUAGUGGUCCCCCGGGCCCAGCUGCCUUUUCUCUUAUCUCUCUGUCUUGUGUCUUUAUUUCUACACUCUCUCAUCGCCACACACAGGGAGAGACCCACCGACCCUGUGGGGCUGGUCCCUACAUCUGGCGCUCUGACGUGGGGCUCUCCCUCGCUGUGUGAAGUUGCACCCUGAGUGCGGGAUCAGCGGAGGAGUUCAACGAGAGAUUCCUGAGGAUUGCAGUCUAUAAACUUGGUGGGGUUUUGUUUGUGUUUCCCCAGGAAAAGAACUACAGCCUGUGUGGGUCCCCUCCCGACAAUUAAAAUUGCACCAUAACUCCAAAGAUGAAACGCUCCCAGAAAGAAAAGGCAAAGACCCAUCGGAAACAAAAGAGCAACUUUCACCGCCUGAUACAUACACUUCAUGACAUCCACAUUGAGACAAAAUCUCGCCGUGUGACCUACAACACCUCUCGUUCAACCCCACCUACUUGGGGUCGAAUACAGAUUUUAUCUCAUCAAACAGAAAAAUUCUUAACAGAAAAAGGAAUCCCAAAAAUGACUGGUAAUAUAAUUCUGGCUGCCUUUAUGGUAGUCAGUGCAGCGGUAAGUAUACCACCGGUCGGGGCAACUCAAAAUUAUACUUAUUGGGCAUAUGUUCCUUUUCCCCUUCUAAUUCGGUCUGUCUCCUGGAGGGACUCUCCAGUAGAAGUUUACACUAAUAAUAGUGCAUUCAUGCCGAUCCCUAAUGAUGAUCGGUUUCCAGCUCAACCGGAAGAAGAAGGUAUGCACUUUAAUCUGUCAAUUGGCUAUAAAUAUCCACCAUUAUGUAUUGGGAAGUCGCCUGGUUGUUUAGCUUAUUCUUAACAGAAUUGGAUGUGGACUGUACCGUCCUUUACAAAUGAUUCUUAUCAAGUAUAUAAUGUGUUCAGUACUAACUCUUUUCAACUUCUCACUGUCAAACGUACCCCACAUGAGGCAUGGAGAGUUCCUCUCACUACCAAAACUAAUAAAACAAAAGGACUGCCGGACUGUCCAAAGAAACCUACAAAUGGGCCUUUUAUAGUGACUUCAAUUUUAUGGGAUAAUUGUAAUGCUCCCAAGGCUGUUGUACUCCAAACUCUAGCCAUGGGUAUUGUUAUUGAUUGGGCUCCAAAAGGACAUUAUUGGCAAGAUUGCUCCAGCAAAAAUACCUUAUGCUCGGAGUUUAUUUAUUCCUUAGAUUAUAUAGAGCAUGGGUGGCAGUCUUACACGAUGAGACAACGGGUGUCUCCUUACCCAUUUAAAUGGAUGGACACAGGUAUUGCUCCUCCUAGACCAAAAAUUAUUCAUCCCUUUUUUACCCCAGAACAUCCUGAACUAUGGAAAUUAGCUGCAGCUUUGUCGGGAAUAAAGAUAUGGAACACUACCUAUCAGCUCCUUCGUACUAAAACCAAAACACCCACAUUCAACAUCACCCUUAUUUCUGAAUGGGUGAUACCCAUUAGGAGCUGUGUCAAACCCCCUUACAUGCUGUUGGUUGGAAAUAUAAUUAUGAUGCCUGAUGCACAAACUAUAGAAUGUCAUAACUGUAAGCUGUUCACUUGCAUUGAUGCAACUUUUAAUCCCACUACAAGUAUUCUCUUGGUAAGGGCUAGGGAGGGGGUAUGGAUACCAGUUUCUCUACAUCGUCCAUGGGAGUCUUCCCCCUCUAUUCACAUAGUCAAUGAAGUUCUUAAAGACAUCCUCAAAAGAACAAAGAGAUUUAUUUUUACUCUUAUUGCAGUCCUUGCAGGACUACUUGCGGUUACUGCAACAGCAGCAACUGCUGGAGUUGCCAUCCGCAGUUCUGUUCAAACUGCUCACUAUGUUGAAGCAUGCCAGAAAAAUUCCUCCAGACUUUGGAAUUCUCAGGCGCAAAUUGAUCAAAAAUUAGCUAAUCAGAUUAAUGAUCUCCGCCAAAGUGUAACCUGGCUGGGAGAUAGAGUUAUGAACUUGCAACACCGUAUGCAAUUACAGUGUGAUUGGAAUACUUCUGAUUAUUGCAUAACGCCUUAUGCUUAUAAUCAAGAUCAACAUAGCUGGGAAAAUGUCUCAAGACAUUUAAAAGCCUGGGAUGAUAACUUAACCUUGGAUAUUUCACAACUUAAAGAGCAAAUCUUUGAGGCUUCACAAGCCCAUUUAUCCACAGUUCCUGGCUCACACAUUUUUGAAGGCAUAACUAAACAAUUACCUGAUUUUAAUCCCUUCAAAUGGCUCAAACCCGUCAGAGGAUCAUUGUUGUUACUGGCAUUAUUAAUAUUGGUAUGCUUAUGUUGUCUCCUUUUAGUCUGCAGAUGCCUCUAAGGAGUCCGAAACCAAGUCCGAAGUCAACAACAAGCAAUGAUGGCGAUGGCGAUUCUAGUUAAUAAAAAGGGGGGAGAUGUGGGCGGCAAGCCACCCAGGCACCGAGGCAAGAGACAGAGGACACGAGCUGUUCCAGUAUAAUAAAAUAUAAAACAAGAAUAGUUAUACCAGAUAUAGAUCUUAGAUAUGAUUAUAUACGAAUAUCAUUAAUCAUGAGUUUGUAGCAAUUACUUUUUAUUCCAAUAUUAUGAUAAUCCUCGCUCUAUAAUCAUAGCCUAGGAAAAACCAGGCCAUACAGAGAUAGGAGCUGAGGGGACAUAGUGAAGUGUGACCAGAAGACAAGAGUGCGAGCCUUCUGUUAUGCCCGGACAGGGCCACCAGAGGGCUCCUUGGUCUAGCGGUGACGCCAGCGUCUGGGAAGACACCCGUUACCAGGCGGAUCGUGGCCCAGCCGUAGCAAAAGGUGUCAAGGAACACCUUUUGCAAAAGGUGUCAACACCCGCUACUUAGCAGACUGGGAAAGGGGGGCGGUCUCCCUUUCCCCGGGGGAGUUUAGAGAAGACUCUGUUCCUCCACCUCUUGUGGAGGGCCUGACAUCAGUCAGGCUUGCCCGUAGUUAUCCGGAGGCCUAACUGUCUCCCUGUGAUGCUGUGCUUCAGUGGUCACGCUCCUAGUCUGCCUUCAUUUUCCAUCCUGUACACCUGGCUCUGCCUUCUAGAUAGCAGUAGUAAAUUAGUGAAAAUACUAAUAGUCCCUGAUAUGCAGAAAUAAUGGCAUAAGCUGUCUUUCUCUCUGUCUCCUCUCCCUCUCUGCCUCGGCUGCCAGGCAGGGAAGGGCCCCCUGUCCAGUGGACACAUGACCCAUGUGACCUUACCUAUCAUUGGAGGUGACUCACAUUCUUUACCCUGCCCCUUCUGCCUUGUAUCCAAUAACAGCGCAGUCAGACAUUCAGGGCCACUACCGGUCUCCGCACAUUGGUGGUAGUGGUCCCCCGGGCCCAGC
ensembl:lncRNA ERVK13-1 endogenous retrovirus group K13 member 1